rnacentral:rRNA from 1 species
UAGGGAAUAUUGCUCAAUGGGGGAAACCCUGAAGCAGCAACGCCGCGUGGAGGAUGAAGGUUUUAGGAUUGUAAACUCCUUUUGUUAGAGAAGAUAAUGACGGUAUCUAACGAAUAAGCACCGGCUAACUCCGUGCCAGCCACCGCGGUCAUACGAUUAACCCAAACUAACUAUUCUCCGGCGUAAAAUGUGUUUUUAUUACGAACAUAAUAGAAUUAAAACCCAACUAAUAUGUGAAAAUUCAUUGUUGGACUUAAAAUCAAUAACGAAAGUAAUUCUAAUUAUAUUAAUACACGAUAGCUAAGAUCCAAACUGGG